rnacentral:rRNA from 1 species
AGUGAACGCUGGCGGUAGGCCUAACACAUGCAAGUCGAACGGCAGCACAGAGGAGCUUGCUCCUUGGGUGGCGAGUGGCGGACGGGUGAGGAAUACAUCGGAAUCUACUCUGUCGUGGGGGAUAACGUAGGGAAACUUACGCUAAUACCGCAUACGACCUACGGGUGAAAGCAGGGGACCUUCGGGCCUUGCGCGAUUGAAUGAGCCGAUGUCGGAUUAGCUAGUUGGCGGGGUAAAGGCCCACCAAGGCGACGAUCCUGAGCUGGUCUGAGAGGAUGGUCGGCCACACUGGAACUGGGACACGGGCCAGACUCCUACGGGAGGGAGCAGUGGGGAAUAUUGGACAGUGGGCGCAAGGCUGAUCCAGCCAUACCGCGUGGGUGAAGGAGGCCUUCGGGUUGUAAAGCCCUUUCGUUGGGAAAGAAAUCCAGCUGGCUAAUACCCGGUUGGGAUGACGGUACCCAAAGAAUAAGCACCGGCUAACUUCGUGCCAGCCGCCGCAGUAA